rnacentral:rRNA from 1 species
AGAGUGUGAUCCUGGCUCAGAUUGAACGCUGGCGGUAUGCUUAAGACAUGCAAGUCGAACGGAAUCUUCGGAUUCAGUGGCGGACGGGUGAGUAACACGUGGGAAUCUACUGAGUAGUGGGGGACAGCCCGGCGAAAGCCGGAUUAAUACCGCAUACGCCCUACGGGGGAAAGGCGCAAGCCGCUAUUUAAUGAGCCCGCGUAAGAUUAGCUAGUUGGUAAGGUAAAGGCUUACCAAGGCGACGAUCUUUAGCUGGUCUGAGAGGAUAGCCAGCCACAUCGGGACUGAGACACGGCCCGGACUCCUACGGGAGGCAGCAGUCGGGAAUAUUGGACAAUGGGCGAAAGCCUGAUCCAGCAAUACCGCGUGUGUGAAGAAGGCCUGCGGGUUGUAAAGCACUUUCAGUUGGGAAGAUAAUGACGUUACCAACAGAAGAAGCACCGGCUAACUCCGUGCCAGCAGCCGCGGUAAUACGGAGGGUGCAAGCGUUAAUCGGAAUUACUGGGCGUAAAGCGUGCGUAGGCGGUUUUAUUAAGUCAGAUGUGAAAUCCCCGGGGCUCAACCUGGGAAACUGCAUCUGA